rnacentral:rRNA from 1 species
AGUUUGAUCCUGGCUCAGGAUGAACGCUAGCGGCAGGCCUAAUACAUGCAAGCCGAAACGGCAAGUCUGAUAGCAAUAUUAGACCUAGAGUGGCGUAAGGGUGCGUAACACGUAUGCAAUCUACCGCAACAGGAGGAUAGCUCGGGGAAACUCGAAUUAACCCUCCAUAAGAUCUUAGACCGGCAUCGGUUAGAGAUUAAAUCUGAGGUGGUAUAGGAUGGGCAUGCGUCUGAUUAGUUAGUUGGCGGGGUAAUGGCCCACCAAGACGAUGAUCAGUAGGGGUUCUGAGAGGAAGAUCCCCCACACUGGCACUGAGAUACGGGCCAGACUCCUACGGGAGGCAGCAGUAGGGAAUAUUGGUCAAUGGAUGCAAGUCUGAACCAGCCAUGCCGCGUGCAGGAAGAAGGCCUUCUGGGUUGUAAACUGCUUUUGCCAGGGGAUAAAAUUUCCAUGCGUGGAAAACUGAAGGUACCUGGUGAAUAAGCCACGGCUAACUACGUG